rnacentral:rRNA from 1 species
UACGUAGGGUGCAAGCGUUGUCCGGAAUUAUUGGGCGUAAAGAGCUCGUAGGCGGUCUGUCGCGUCUGCUGUGAAAACUCGGGGCUUAACCCCGGGCCUGCAGUGGGUACGGGCAGACUAGAGUGCGGUAGGGGAGACUGGAAUUCCUGGUGUAGCGGUGAAAUGCGCAGAUAUCAGGAGGAACACCGGUGGCGAAGGCGGGUCUCUGGGCCGACACUGACGCUGAGGAGCGAAAGCCAGGGGAGCAAACGGG